rnacentral:rRNA from 1 species
AUUGAACGCUGGCGGCAGGCCUAACACAUGCAAGUCGAACGGAGUGGCGGACGGGUGAGUAAUGCCUGGGAAUCUGCCUGGUAGUGGGGGAUAACGUCCGGAAACGGGCGCUAAUACCGCAUACUAUCAGAUGAACCUAGGUGGGAUUAGCUAGUUGGUGGGGUAAAGGCCUACCAAGGCGACGAUCCGUAACUGGUCUGAGAGGAUGAUCAGUCACACUGGAACUGAGACACGGCCCAGACUCCUACGGGAGGCAGCAGUGGGGAAUAUUGGACAAUGGGCGAAAGCCUGAUCCAGCCAUGCCGCGUGUGUGAAGAAGGUCUUCGGAUUGUAAAGCACUUUAAGUUGGGAGGCGUUACCAACAGAAUAAGCACCGGCUAACUUCGUGCCAGCCGCCGCGGUAAUUC